UUGUGAAUGUUUAACGUGUGAGACUGUUUUCUGUAAGUGCAAUUAAGUCUGUUUUCUUAUUCUCUUCAUACUUUACACUUAAAUUGGGACCCAUUUAUAGCUGAGCAGAUGCUCUGACGGAGGAGGAGAGCGGCUGUGUGGUAAAUCUCUGAAGUCAUCCAAACAUCACGAGGCCAAGCUCCUCUCUCUGGCAUGUGACCCACUAGAAUGCAUUCCAUGUACUUGUACUGGAGUCUGCACAUUCUGGAAGAGACGGACAUGCAGUUGGAAAGGAGAUAAACCCCCAGAACGGUCUCUUCUUCUGAGGUAUGACAGAAUCGUUUCUAGCCCUCGACUUGGGUUCCCUGAAAGUGUCGGAUUUAAGUUGAAGUUGUAGAUGCAGUGAGUUUUAGUGUUGUGUUGAUUGCUAAUUAUCUCGGUGUGCCUCAAUAUUUUUUUAAGCAACGUGCAGGAAUGUGAUUUAGCAAAAGUCUCCUAGUCAAGUUAAUGAUUCAGCCCCCUUCUGAGAUUAUUAGUCAUAUUAGUCAUGUUCCUUCCUGGAAUAACGCUAAGUAUAACAGCAUAAAUAUGUCCAGCAUACCUUCGCUGGGCAAGGCUACAAUGUGAAAGUAAUUUUGCAGUGACAGCCAAAAUACACUAUAUAUACAAUGGUAUGUGGACACCCCUUCAAAUUAGUGGAUUCGGCCAUUUGAGCCACACUCGUUGCUGACCGGUGGAUAAAAUUGAGCACACCGCCAUGCAAUCUCCGUAGACAAACAUUGAAAGUAGAAUAGCCCAUACUGAAAAGCUCCGUGACUUUCAACUUGGCACCGUCAUAGGAUGCCACCUUUCCAACAAGUCUGUUAGUCAUAUUUCUGACCUGCUAGAGCUUACCCCAGUCAACUGUAAGUGCUAUUAUUGUGAAGUGGGAGCGUCUAGGAGCAACAACUGCUCAGCCGCGAAGUGGUAGGCCACACAAACUCACAGAACGGAACCGCCGAGUGCUGAAGAUGCAGCGCGUACAAAUCGUUUGUCCUCAGUUGCAACACUACCGAGUUCCAAACUGGCUCUGGCUUCACCAUCUGGCAGUCCGACGGAUGAAUCUGGGUUUGGCGGAAGCCAGGAGAACGCUACCUGCCCCGAUGCAUAGUGCCAACUGUAAUGUUUGGUGAAGGUGGAAUAAUAGUCUGGGGCUGUUUUUCAUGGAUUGGGCUAGGUCCCUUUAGUUCCAGUGAAGGGAGAUCUUAACUCUACAGCGUAGAAUGACAUUCUCUUGACGAUUCUGUGCUUCCAAAUUUGGCAACAGUUUCAGCAUGACAAUGCCCCCGUGCACAAAGCGAAGUCCAUACAGAAAUGGUUUGUCGAUCGGUGUGGAAGAACUUGACUGGCCUGCCCAGAGCCUUGACCUCAAACUCAUCGAACGCUUUUGGGAUGAAUUAGAGCGCCGACUGCGAGCCAGGCCUAUUCGCCCAACAUCAGUGCCCGACCUCACUAAUGUAGCUCUUGUGGCUGAAUGGAAGCAAGUCCCCGCAGUAAUGUUGCAACAACUAGUGGAAAGCCUUCCCAGAAGAGUGGAGGCUGUUGUAGCAGUAAAGGGGGGACCAACUCCAUAUUAAUGCCCAUGAUUUUGGAAUGACAUGUUCGAUGAGCACAUGUCCACAUACUUUUGGUCAUGUAGUGUGCUUCUGAGGAGAAUGGGGCCUAAAGGGGUUAAAGGCUGUGGCUCCCCCUCCUGAUCUCUCCUCUUGGUGUGGCCCAGAUGGGCUAGUUUGAGUUUUUCAGAUAACUUGGCAGGUCUGAGCAGAGAUGAGGAAGGAGGGAAGUUCUCCUUGGCCCUGAGCUGUGGAGAGGCUGUGGAGAGGGGGGUGCUGGGGGGUUUGGUUCAGCUGAGAGGGGAGGCCGUGACAGUUUGGGCUAGACUGUUAUGAGAGAAUGAGGAGGUUAACAGAGAAAAAGGCCUGUGGUAACAGUGCUGACGCACGAGGGAAACAUUAAGGGAGGGCAAAUGGAAUCCCUUGCAGGAGUCUCUAAUCCCAGUGUUGACGGGGUCAUGGAGCCGCUGGCGACAGCAUGAAUGUACUUUGCAACCCGCUGAAGGGGGAGAGAAACUAGCACUCUGAUUGACGUAGUUAAGUAAUUCAUAGGUAACUGAUAGUUAUCAGCUAAGUGCCGGCCUCUACCCAAACAAAGUGUUCCAUGGACCAGGGAAAGGGAUAGAAUCUAGCUCUUUUUAAAGGUCUGAUAACUAUCAAUGUCUUAUGAAUGAUUUACCUCUCCAUAUGUGCUAGUGACCCUCGACCCAGAAGAGCGUUCCAUGGAGGGUUUAUUAAGCUGCCGCUCCAGGAAGUAUGAUAGGUGGCCAAGCAGCAGGAGCUAAAGAGACAAGACUCAGCAGUGGAAAGCAAUGGAACUUUGAUUUCCUACCCCACAGCACAGCAGCCCCCCGUCUGCCUUUCCCCUCCGUAGCUUGGGAUGGCAGGACGCUGCUUGGUGGAAGAGUCUCAGAGAAAUCGUUCCUUUAGAGGGAAAUGCUAUCAGUCACACUAUCGACUGUGCUCAACACUUCCUUGCUUUACUAUUGUGUGUGUGGGAUCCAUCACAUAUGUGUAGAUCAAUUUAAAUUCAAUCACUUUUUGACAGCAUCCCUUUUGACACGAAUGAAUCCUUCUUCAAUACUACUUUGGCCAUUGUAAAAGUGAUCAGAAAGUGAUUUUUUGGACCUGAAGGCCAAAACAAACAAUACCAGUUAAGUUUGGACACACCUACUCAUUCAAGGGAUUUUCUUUAUUUUUACUAUUUUCUACAUUGUAGAAUAAUAGUGAACUCAACAAAUCUAUGAAAUGGCACAUAUGGAAUCAUAUGUAGCAACCAAAAAAGUGUUAAACAAAAUCAAAGAAUAUUUUCGAUUUCUGAUUCUUCAAAGUAGGCACCCUUUGCCUUGAUGACAGCUUUGCACACUCUUGGCAUUCUCUCAAUCAGCUUCACCUAGAAUGCUUUUCCAACAGUCUUGAUGGAGUUCCCACAUAUGCUGAGCACUUGUUGGCUGCUUUUCCUUCACUCUGCGGUUCAACUCAUCCCAAACCAUCUCAAUUGGAUUGAGGUCAGGUGAUAGUGGAGGCCAGGUCAUCUGAUGCAGCACUCAUCACUCCUUCUUGGUCAAAUAGCCCUUACACAGCCUGGAGGUGUGUUUUGGGUCAUUGUCCUGUUGAAAACAAAUGAUAGUCCCACUAAGCGCAAACCAGAUGGGAUGGUGUAUUGCUGCAGAAUGCUGUGGUGGCCAUGCUGGUUAAGUGUGCCUUGAAUUCUAAAUAAAUCAGACGGUGUCACCAGCAAAGCACCCCCAGGCCAUCACACCACCUCCAUGCUUCACGGUGGGAACCACACAUGCAGAGAUCAUCUACUAUGUGUCUCACAAAGACACAGCGUUUGAAAUCAAAAAUAUUUAAUUUGGACUCAUCAGACCAAAGGACAGAUUUCCACCGGUCUAAUGUUGAUUGCUUGUGUUUCUUGGCCCAAAUCUCUUUAGUUUUUCUGUCCUUUUAGUAGUGGUUUCAUUGCAGCAAUUCGACCAUGAAGGCUUGAUUUCAUGCAGUCUCCCCUGAACAGUUUGAUGUUGAGAUGUGUUUGUUACUUUAACUCUGAAGCAUUUAUUUGGGCUGCAAUUUCUGAGGCUGGUAACUCUAAUGAACUUAUCCUCUGCAGCAGAGGUAACUCUGGAUCUUCCUUUCCUGUGGCGGUCCUCAUGAGAGACAGUUUCAUCAUAACACUUGUUUUUUGCGACUGCACUUGAAGAAACGUUCAAAGUUCUUGAAAUGUUCCGGAUUGACUGACCUUAAUGUCUUAAUAAAGUAAUAAUGGAGUGUUGUUUCUCUUUGCUUAUUUGAGCUGUUCUUGCCAUAAUCUGAACUUGGUCUUUUACCAAAUAGGGCUAUAUUAUGUAUACCACCCCUACCUUGUCACAACACAACUGAUUGGCUCAAAUGCAUUAAGAAGGAAAGAAGGCACACCUGUUAAUUGAAAUGCAUUCCAGGUGACUACCUGAUGAAGCUGGUUGAGAGAGUGUGCAAAGCUGUCAUCAAGGCAAAGGGUGGCUACUUUGAAGAAUCUAAAAUUAUUUGUUUAAGACUUUGGUUACUUCAUGAUUCAAUAUGUGUUAUUACAGAGAUCUGUCCUUUGGUCUGAUGAGUCCAAUUUUGAGAUUUUUGGUUCCAACCGAUGUGUCUUUGUGAGACGCAGAGUAGGUGAACAGAUCAUCUCAUGUGUGGUUCCCACCGUGAAGCAUGGAGGAGGUGGUGUGAUGGUGUCGGGGUGCUUUGCAGGUGACACUGUCAGUGAUUUAUUUAGAAUUCAAGGCACACUUAACCAGCAUGGCUACCACAGCAUUCUGCAGCGAUACACCUUCCCAUCUGGUGUGCACAUAAUUUGUUUUUCAGCAGGACAAUGACCCAACCACCUCCAGGCUGUGUAAGGGCUAUUUGACCAAGAAGGAGAGUUAUGGAGUGCUGCAUCAGAUGAUCACCUGACCUCAACCCAAUUGAGAUGUUUUGGGAUGAGUUGGACCACAGAGCGAAGGAAAAGCAGCCAACAAGUGCUCAGCAUAUGUGGGAACUCCAAGACUGUUGGAAAAGCAUUCUAGGUGAAGCUGGUUGAGAGAAUGCAAAAAGUGUGCAAAGCUGUCAUCAUGCAAAGGGGUGGCUACUUUGAAGAAUCUCACAUUUCAAAUAUAUUCUGAUUUGUUUAACACUAUUUUGGUUACUACAUGAUUCCAUGUGUUAUUUCAUAGUUUUGAUGUCUUCACUAUUAUUCUACAAUGUAGAUAAUAGUAAAAAAUAAAGAAAAACCCUUGAAUGAGUAGGUGUGUCCAAACAUUUGAUUGGUACUGUACAAAAUAAAGGUGUUCAAAGUUGAGCCAUUUUGCAUACCCCACCAUACCAUGAGACAUCCAUGUCUUCCUCACUGGAAAAGACAAACAGUUGAGAUUGAUAGCAUUUAAAAGCUUACAAACAGGGUUGUCAAAGUAUUUUAUAAUUUCUUGUGUGUGUAUGUAUAUGUGUGUGUGUGUAUAUAUAUAUAUAUAUAUUUGAAGUGUAUAUAUAUAUAUAUAUACACACAAAACAAAUAGUUUUUAACCUUUUAAAGUCACAUCAAUGUUUUACUUAUUCACAUACUGUAUGUUGUAUUUUAGACAUCAUCUAAGGUGUUUGUGCUCUGCCCACCAUCGGUUGAGACACAACAUGCUCUUGAAUACAGGGUGGGUGUCAUGUUUUGGCGGAUAAAUGUACUAAAGUGGGAAUAACAUUUGAAAUGGUUCCACGAAGGUGGUUGGGGGUCCACACAUCCGAGAAUGUUGACUUGAAUAGGAAUAUCAGUUUUAAUUGACACUAUCAAUCCUCCCUAGUAAACCUAUUGAAAUCAUAGAAAUAUAGAUAAUAGAACAUACAUGACCAUUGAAGUUGACAUUCAACGAUGUGUGGACUGGUGGUCAUCUUUGUGGUAGUAAUUAGAAGUAAAAAUGUCAAUCCAAUGUAAUUUUCAAUGUGGUACGAGCUAAAUUGCAGUGGUCUCAAGAAAUCGGUCCGUUCUAUGAAUUAUAUUUCUAUGGUUGAAAUGACACACCCUGUAUUCAAAAGCAUGUUGUGCCUCGACCAAUGAGGGGGACAACACAAAACCUCAGAUGUGAAAUUGGGUUUAAGCUACAACAUAUGCGUAUGUGAAAAAAAUCUGAGUUUACUUGUUUUUAGAUAAACACCCCCCCCCCCCCCCCCCCCCAAAAAAAAACACUGAGCUUUUAAAUGAUCUCGAAAUUAACCGUUUUAUCUUUUCCAAAUGAUAAAGACACGGAUGUCUUAUGGUGGAGUACGCAAAAUGAGUCAACUUCAUCACCUGAAUGUUUUGGCAUUUAGAUCCAAAUAGUCCCUUUCGGACCACUUCGUCCAUGGACAAACAUGGGAUGUUUUGUGCUGUCAAAGAGUGAUUCAAUUCAAAUAGAUUUCCCCAUAUCUUAUUGUUUUAUGUUGUGCUCAUGUUUUUUUUGCUUGCUCUUUACAGCAUUUGUGUUUGUAUUGUGGAACUGAUCCGUCUGUAUAUAGUGUUUAAGUGUGCUGGUUUAUGUUGUAUGUUUGUGACUGUCUGCCAAUAUGUUGGUGCGCGUACGUGCCCACUCUGGAUUGGGUCCAGUGGCUGGUAUUUAUAACCCUGCUGUCAGGGCCUGGCUACAGUCAGACCGUGGGAAUGUGGUAAAGGAUUUCUGUGGUAUUUUUAAUGUUUGUUAUUAAAUAUCCCCACACGGGACCAUGACCAAACUCUCUGCCCCCUUCUAUCUCUCCUCCUUUGCCGCCUCCUCCCCUACACAUUUUUGCGUCCCGGAGAGAAAAAGCACCCUGGAUCCGAUAACAGCAUGGCUCACAUUACCGUGGAGAUCCGGGAAGAGCAGCAGACAACUGUUGCUUCAGCUGGAGAAGCGAAGCGGCCAUUGUUACUGCCAAGAGGCAGACUGACUGUACUGUAUACCGACCCCACCCUAAACACAAGCUACAAAAUAGCUGCUAUAUCACUGGCUUGCAGUGGGGCGGAAAUAUUUCUGAAAAUGAACGCCCAAAAGACACCCUCUGUCUGUGUUUGUGAUACCAUAGUUUGUUAUUUCAGAGAUGUUUCCCAGAUUACCUAGUGGCAUUCUCAGUUAGAUAUGGAGCGACAGGUGAUACUCUGUCCGUUAGCCAAAGCUGAGAAAACAUCAUUUAACACACAUCAGCAGAUUAGCAAGUGAGAGAAAACCCUCCUCUAACUCUUUCUGAUGGUCACAGCCAGCAUAUAGAUUUGGUCUUUUUUAAAUGUAUUUUUAGGGCUGUCACAUGAUAAAAAAGGUGUUAAUUGCAGGAUUUGCUGUGAUUUAAUCACAAAUUCUGAAUUUGCUCAAAUUAAACUGCAUUUUAAGAUUUUUUUCCGUACAUUAAACGUUACAAGAAUAUUGAUGUAAGUUUGUCUGAAGUAAUGGUUAGCACAAUUUGGUGAAUUGAGAAAGCACACGAACUUCAAUGUCAACUUGGUUUACAUAGUUGUUUUUGGCUGUAUAGAUGAUGUAUUUGAAUGCCUUCAGACAAUGCGAUUAAUCACGACACAAAAGGUGUGCACUACAAUUCCAAUACGUUGACUCUAGUUAUUUAAGUCUGACUGCCCUAUCUUUCUGGCAUGUGUAUAUUAGUAUGACUUCUCUUUCUAUCAUUUGCAUCACACUUUUUAUGAUUUAUGAUCUUCAUAUGGUGGAACUUGUUACUUGGCUUUUGCGUUUUUGAUUUCAUUAUAUUAUAGAUUUCGUUCUGGGUGAUCGAUGCUUUUGCAGUAUUCAUCCCUCCUCGCAUGUUUACAAACUAAAUUACAACCAUCUCAUCCUUUUCUCUGCUGACACUCAAUUCCAGGAAGUAAUUUACUUCAUCAUCCACUAACUUUAAGAAAAUGUUCUUUCCAUCGUUUCCCGUGACUGCCCCUCAACUACCAAUUUGUUUAGGAAGCACAAUCACAGAGACAGAAGAAAAGCUUUUCCACACAAGCUGCCAAAUGUAUCCUUGUGGUUUUCUGUGUGUUUAUGUUCAUUUCUAGAGGGACAACAUAUCUGUGGAAAACCAAAAGCUCAGGGCUGGUGCUUUCCCUCUAGGGAGUGUAAUGGUGGUAAAAAUAGGAAAUCUGUUUUUGGGACUGGAAUUGCGAUUGAAGUGUGUAUCCCAGGGGUUUAUUCAUAUUGCAUGAUGGGGAAUCAAUCAUUCUCCUCUCACUCCACAUAAGAAAAGCACACAACAAUUUCCCCCUCUCUUAAGAAAAUAGGACCUGACACAUUGUAAUUGCCCAUUUGAUAUACCGUGUAACUGUCACAUACUGUAUAUAACUUCAAUAUGGAAGUUGUGGCUCUUUUUCUCCGUUCCACACUUGCACUGCUCUCCAUACCUCCAGCUGAACACAUGUUGAUGGUUGUAACUGUAGGAAGUGUGUGUGGGUGGAGGAGAAUUCUGGCAUUGGAAAAUCCUCCUCUGCACUGACUUUUGGUUUGAACUAUGUUAAACACAAUCUGCUACAUAGAUCCACAUGUUACUACUGCAUGAAAAUGAUUCAUUUUAGCUCCUACUGCCUCUCAUAAAAUAAAUCCUCUACCACCGUACUGCCGGGAGUCGUCUUUUCAUUCAUUCACUUCAUUCAUUCAGUCUUCCAUGGCCAAUGCAACUAGGGACACAGCGGCACAACAAAUACCAAUUUACCCUGGCCUGGAUAACUGGAAGUCUGGGACUGGCCUACUGUACCACGUGAACCUGAGUUAACAAAGGUGAAUUCUAUAGGAAUCAGAGGCCCAUUCUACUACAAGGUAUUCCUAAUUACAAUGUCUGUAGUCAGUCUCUCGGUCACCCUGUCCACUCUCUGUUGAGGUCCAGAUUGCAGACAUGGCCCAGCCUCCACAGCCCAUCAUCAUUUCACUGCAGCAGCCUGAGGGAGUGGAGAGAGAUGGCUGUCACCGCUGGACCGGUGACUGGAUGUUCUGUUGAAGUCGCUCUGCUGCUCCUGGAUGGGAGGAAGACCUGGCUGUGGAUGAAAGUCAUGGCUCGACCAGACGAUGAGGAGAACACUUCCCAAUCAGCCACCACAUUCCCUGAGACAACUGGCCUUACUGGCCCCUGUAAAACCCAUCCUCUGGUUCCUGGCUGCCAUGUUCCUUCCUCUAUGAUCCCCCGUUUAUCCCACAUUCCCUCUCUCCAUGGGAAUUUCAGUCACAGGGAAAAGGGAAUUUCUCCCUGACCAGAAGUAGCCUACAGCAAUGUCUACUGGGAUAAAAUAAUGAAAGCUAAUGUGCACAGACCUGAGCAGGUGAUCACAAUCAAGGUGAAUUAAUAGCGUGUUGAUACAUCAACGUUAUUAGGAGGACAGUAGGACCAGAGAAGAGAAUGGUGUGUUUCUGCUCCCCAGAGUGUGGUGCCCCCCACCCCAACACAUCCCCGGGGGCACACUGCCUGCCCUCCAGUACCCCUACAGCACCCGAUAUCACAGAAAGGCCAAAAAUAUCAUUGACAUCAACCACCAUAGCCACGGCCUAUUCACCCCGCUAUCAUCCAGAAGGAGAGGUCAGGUGCAUCAAAGCUGUGACCGAGAGACUGAAAAACAGCUGCUAUCUCAAGGCCAUCAGACUGCUAAAUAGCCAUCACUAGCCAGCCUCCACCCAGUACCCUGCCCUGAACUUAGUCCCUAUCACUAGCCGGCAACCACCCGGUUACUCAACCCUGCACCUUAGAGAAUGCUGCCCUAUGUACAUAGACAUUGAACACCGGUCACUUUAAUAAUGUUUACAUACUGUUUUACUCAUUUCAUAUGUAUAUACUGUAUUCUAUAUCAUAUUCAACUAUUGCUGUAUGUAUAUAUACUUUUCUAUCCUAUGUAUUCUAGAUAUACUACAUAUUCUAUCCCCAUACUGUACAUAAUGUCUAUACUUCCCAUCACACAUACUGUAUAUGCUCCAGACUCUGACAUUUUGCUCGUCCUAAUAUUUAUACGUUUCUUAAUUCUUUUACUUUCAGGUUUGUGUGUAUUGUUGUGAAUUGCUAGAUAUUACUGCACGGUUGGAUCUAGGAACACAAGCAAUUCACUACACCCAGCAAUAUCUGCUUAAUGUGUAUGUGUCCAAUAAAAUGUGAUUUGUACUGUG